UCUCUCUCUCCUCUCCUCUCUCUCUCUCUCUUCUCUCUCUCUCUCUCACAAGGAGAAACUUGCUCGGCUUCGGAUUGUGCACUAUAAGCAGGUGAAGCUGCCAGCUUGAUCUGAUAUUCUGAUACAGUUUCCUCUCUUUAGAAGAAAUUAAUGGAGGAAAAAUAUAUAGAUCAGAUCAUGUUGUGCAGUUUCAUUUGCUGAUGGUAGCACAAAAAUGCUCAGUUCUAUAUAUUCUAUAGAAGUUCAUCAAUAACUAUGGGCUUUUAAUUUUAUCUUUUUUAUUGCUUUUAAUCAUUCUUCGAUUGUUAUAUUGGUUUGCAGAAAGGAAGAGAUAAAGAAGUCUUUCGUAUUUCUGAGAUCUAAAAUUCUAUCAGAUCUGCGUUAGACUGUAUGUUGAGUGAGCACAUGGAUGCAUGUGUCAAAUUUAUAUUUAAAGGACAAACUAAAUUGUUUUA